UCUCGGUGAUGAAUAAAAAAUGAUGACGAGUCCGAUCUUUCUUAUUCCAUUCGUUUGUGACGACAUAUCGAGGCAUUUGUCUGAGAGAG